UGGGGAAUAUUGCACAAUGGGCGAAAGCCUGAUGCAGCAACGCCGCGUGAGUGAUGAAGGUCUUCGGAUUGUAAAGCUCUGUCUUUUGGGACGAUAAUGACGGUACCAAAGGAGGAAGCCACGGCUAACUACGUGCCAGCAGCCGCGGUAAUACGUAGGUGGCGAGCGUUGUCCGGAUUUACUGGGCGUAAAGGGUGCGUAGGCGGAUGUUUAAGUGAGAUGUGAAAUACCCGGGCUUAACUUGGGUGCUGCAUUUCAAACUGGAUAUCUAGAGUGCAGGAGAGGAGAAUGGAAUUCCUAGUGUAGCGGUGAAAUGCGUAGAGAUUAGGAAGAACACCAGUGGCGAAGGCGAUUCUCUGGACUGUAACUGACGCUGAGGCACGAAAGCGUGGGUAGCAAACAGGAUUAGAUACCCUGGUAGUCCACGCCGUAAAACGAUGAGUACUAGGUGUAGGAGGUAUCGACCCC
rnacentral:rRNA from 1 species